UACGUAGGGUGCAAGCGUUAAUCGGAAUUACUGGGCGUAAAGGGUGCGCAGGCGGCCCCGCAUGUCAGGCGUGAAAUCCCCGGGCUCAACCUGGGAAUGGCGCUUGAAACUACGGGGCUGGAGUGUGGCAGAGGGAGGUGGAAUUCCACGUGUAGCGGUGAAAUGCGUAGAGAUGUGGAGGAACACCGAUGGCGAAGGCAGCCUCCUGGGCCAACACUGACGCUCAUGCACGAAAGCGUGGGGAGCAAAC
rnacentral:rRNA from 1 species